AACUUGAUUUUGAACCGUUCAAUUAGAAAGGAGGAAGAAAACCAUGGAACACUAUAAAUUUCGUGUGUGCCCACGAUGGUUUUACGUUGGCUGAUUUAGUGACGUACAACAAUAAACACAAUUUGGCAAAUGGAGAGGACAACAAAGACGGGGAGAAUCACAAUAAUAGUUGGAAUUGUGGUGAGGAAGGAGAGUUUGCAAGUAUCUUUGUGAAGAAAUUGAGGAAAAGACAAAUGCGGAACUUCUUCCUUUGCCUUAUGGUUUCCCAAGGUGUUCCCAUGAUAUAUAUGGGCGAUGAAUAUGGUCACACUAAGGGAGGAAACAACAACACGUACUAAUUUUUAAUAUUUUAGAGAAGUUUUUCAUAGAGUAGGAGUAUCUUUUAUGUCCUUGUCAGAGAGAAGUUAGCUUUUUUGUAAUUGUUAACUACUGUAUCUAGUGAUUGAUUUGUGUGCAUGCUUGAAUCAAAUGCAGGUCGACAAAGUGAAGGGAGAACUAUAUGUUGCCUUUAACGCCAGCCAUUUGCCUGUAACAAUUACACUUCCAGAUAGGCCUGCUUAUAGAUGGCAGCCUUUGGUUGACACAGGCAAACCAGCACCAUUUGACUUCUUGACAGAUGACGUUCCGGAGAGAGAGAUAGCAGCCAAACAAUAUUCUCAUUUUCUGGAUGCAGACCAGUAUCCAAUGCUCAGUUAUUCAUCCAUUAUUCUUUUACUAUCGCCUGCUGAUGAUUCUUUGUUUCGUUCAACAAGCCGGGCGAGGUAAAGCAGCUUCGGAUUUUGUUGUAUGCAGACUGCAGUGGGUGUUAGUUACUUUGUAAAUAAAUACAAGUGCGAAGCUGCACGGAACAGAACUGCAAGCGGAACUCUUGAGGAAGAAGCUGAAUAUAUAUAUAAAAGAACUUGUAUAAUUAUAUUUAUAUAGAGAGAGAAGUGUUUGAAGACAUCCUCAAACUUGGCAUGAACUAUUAUUUUAGUCCUCUAACCAUAUCCACUAUUAGAAUCCCCCUACAUUUGAC